AUGGUCCACACUGCUCAAACAUCUUUAAAGGUAGCUUAUCAGUGUCUUAAGAAGCAGUCUUUAGUCCAGCUCUCAGAGAUGGGGUUAGUGGCUCUCCUGCUGUCGAUGCUGCUGUUCUGGGUACCAGGACAAAAGGCCACCAUCUCCUGCAGGGCCAGGGAGAGUGUCAAUAAAUUUGGCAUAAAUCUUAUGCAUUGGUAUCAACAGAAACCAGGACAGCCUCCCAAACUCCUGAUGUUUAAUGUGUACAGUCUAGAGUCUGGGAUCCCUGCCAGGUUCAGUGGUGAUGAGGAUGAAUUAAACUUCCCCCUCACCAUCCAUCCUGUGGAAGCUGAUGAUGUUGCAACCUACUAUUGUCAGCAAGGACUAACACUUGCUCUCACAGCCCUCUAA